GUCGGUGUGGCGCAGUGGUUACCGCGUUCGGCUGCUAACCGGAUUCCUUCGGGUUCCUGGGUUCGAAUCCCAGCGCCGACG
rnacentral:tRNA from 1 species